rnacentral:rRNA from 1 species
AUGAGGAUGCAGGUUGACCUUAUGAUCGAAGGAAUCCCUUCCCACGCUUGGACGUCCGAGACGGCGGCGGAGCUUCUGGGCUCGUCAUGUUUGGUGGAAAGCUUGGCGCCGGAGACUGAGAACAGGGAAGACUUGUCAUUGUUCAAAGUUAGGGCCUGGUGCGUGGAUCCAGACGAGGUGCCUGCAGAUAGGCGGCUCUGGGUUCCGGAGCCGGAGAUGGUUGGAGGACCGGCGGCGAGAUCGCCCACGUCCCGUGCGCUGCUUGAGUACAAGAUCAUGAUUCACAUCGGCAGGGUCCGUGAUCACGAAGGCCCGGAGCGCUGGUUGAGGCCGCCAAGCUCCGAUGGUAGCGGUCAGAGCGGGUUACCUGAGGAUUCCGGUGACUUCUCUGGCAGGGGUGAGUGGAGAGUGCUGCCGUGGUCGAGAGGAGUCCGUGAUCGGCGUGGAGGCGCUCAGGGAAACGGGGCGCAUGGCGGUUCCUACAUGCGUGCCCUGUUGGGGUGUAUUGGUCCGUCAGACUGGAGAAUCCCGCCCAUGGCGCAGGGCUCUGCGGCGAGGAUGCACGCGCCGGCGAUCACCGUGGUCACCACGGUGGCAACCAGGGUUGGAGAGGGCGGGCCGCUGACUGCCGAGGUCGCGCUGGUGGAGCCUGUGGCCACAGUUGAUCCAGGGAGGAUGGCGAGUGCCACAGAAAAUCCGGCCGCUAUUGUCAGGGACAGGGCGGAGCAGGUGGCUUUUGACCAUGGUGGGGCCCUGGAGCGGGGCCGAGCCAAUCCCGAGGCUCAGCACUUGGUCCGGUCCGUGGCGGAUCCCGAGGCGUCUGUACCGGUGGAUAAAGCUGCAGAGGAGGCGCGUUCGCCUCUGGCUGGCGGGAUGGACCCAGUGGAUCCCGAGGCGGCUGCUGGUUCGAGGGGGAUCGAGGAUUUGGAUCCAGCCAAUCAGGAUGCGUCGGGAGGCUUGGAGGUGGCCCAGGAGGGCACAAGGGCCAAGGAAGUGGAUUUGCAGCUAUUGUGCCCCGACAAGGCAACAGACGGAUGGGCCCCGGUCAGGGAUCUGAUGCAGGCACAGAUGGCGACAGGAGAGGUGGAGAGGCUGGUUGAUUCACCGGUGGUGGGUCACGUUCUACAGGAGUCGAUGCCCACUGUUGCAUGCAAUGAUGUGACCACGUACGCUGCAUGCGGGGAGAGGAACUUGCGCGUUUCUGCGUCUGACUUGGCUGCUUGCGCGGAUGGCUCGCUGCAGCUCCAGGAAGGAAAUCUUUCGGCCAAGGAGAUCGCUGCGCUGGGUAACAUCAAAACUUUUUGGGCCGGGCUGCUGAAGAAACUUGCGCCGCCUCUUCUUAGAGAGUUCGAAGGGCUUAGAGGAGUUCGAACUGGUCAAGACCCUUUCACGCCUCGACGCACGACCCGGUCUGUGUGUUCCGGUGGCGCUAGGAAGCCCAAGGCUUCGGCAGCUGAAACAGUGCUACUUAAGACUCUAGGCUUUGAUUGUGAGGAUCUGGCCGUCUCUGAGGACGCGCUAGGUCAGCUUCGUACGGUGUUCGAUUCACCACUGCAGGAGCCACAGCUGAGGGCCAUCGCGGCCAUCUUUGGGAAGGCCAUACCCCUCAAUCUAGCAGGGGAGGCAGGUAUGGAGGUGCCAGUUACGGCGCAGUAG